CAGCAGCGCGGGAAUACAGAGGGUGCGAGCGUUAAUCGGAUUUACUGGGCGUAAAGCGUGCGUAGGCGGCUUCUUAAGUCGGAUGUGAAAUCCCUGAGCUUAACUUAGGAAUUGCAUUCGAUACUGGGAAGCUAGAGUAUGGGAGAGGAUGGUAGAAUUCCAGGUGUAGCGGUGAAAUGCGUAGAGAUCUGGAGGAAUACCGAUGGCGAAGGCAGCCAUCUGGCCUAAUACUGACGCUGAGGUACGAAAGCAUGGGGAGCAAACAGGAUUAGAGACCCCAGUAGUCCCUGUCUCUUAUACA
rnacentral:rRNA from 1 species